GACGAACGCUGGCGGCGCGCUUAACACAUGCAAGUCGAACGGAGAAUUUUAUUUCGGUAGAAUUCUUAGUGGCGAACGGGUGAGUAACGCGUAGACAACCUGCCUCUUAGAUGGGGACAACAUCGCGAAAGCGGUGCUAAUACCGAAUGAAGUGGAGCUUCCGCAUGGAAGCAUCACCAAAGGUGGCCUCUAUUUAUAAGCUACCACUGAGAGAUGGGUCUGCGUCUGAUUAGCUAGUUGGCGGGGUAAUGGCCCACCAAGGCGACGAUCAGUAGCCGGUCUAAGAGGAUGAACGGCCACAUUGGGACUGAGACACGGCCCAAACUCCUACGGGAGGCAGCAGUGGGGAAUCUUCCGCAAUGGACGAAAGUCUGACGGAGCAACGCCGCGUGAGUGAAGAAGGUUUUCGGAUCGUAAAGCUCUGUUGUUUGAGACGAAUGUGCAGACUUUGAAUAAGGGUUUGUAAUGACGGUAUUAAACGAGAAAGCCACGGCUAACUACGUGCCAGCAGCCGCCGUAA
rnacentral:rRNA from 1 species